rnacentral:lncRNA from 8 species
AUGUGCAAGCUAUCAGAGGGGGUAGUCCCCCCUCGCCUGCUAAUUAGUGAACCUCCACCCAUAAAUGGAUUGAUCUCUGACCUCAGCAGCGAUACCAACCCUAAUUAUGCCAUUAGCGGAAAAACAGCAGGCAACAACGGUUUCCAAAAUCAACCAUCGGGCGCAGGCCUCGUAAAGGUUCUCUCCAGUCUAGCCCUGAUGUCUUGCCAUCCGAGAUUGGCAUCGGUCCAAUACCGCAGUGCACAGCUGAAGCACAAGCAGGUAAUGGUAGACAUAAAGGGACAGGUGGAGAGAACUGGGAAAUCAAUGACAAAUGCAGAAAAGGGAAAAAUUCUGCUAGCUAUGGAACUGCGGUUGAAAAGUGAACAAUUAAAUGUAAUUGCAAAAACUUAUGACGAUGAACAAGCACAUACUCUUCUACAAAAUCGUCUUCUACAGGAACAACUCGAUUUAGCCAAAACUAAAUACAAUGAUGUCCACGCCAAACUAGAUAAUUCUGAAGAGUUAUCUACAAACAGGAGCGCUCUACGUGAUAACAUGCAUGCAGUUUUGUUGAACUUUACUCAAAGUAACACGGUUCUACUCAAAACGCUGCAGACCAAAGACGAUCUGUUAAUGAACACAGUGACAAAGUUGGAUGACAAAUCAGCAGAACUCAUUGAAGUCGCCAACCAAAUGAAUGAUGCGAGAACUCAGGUGAUGAAGAUAGAAAUAUUGAUUUCUAAGCAAGCGGAGGAAAUCUCAUCACUGAAUCUCUUGCUCCGUACUCAAGACCUCUAUCUGCAAAUCAUGACAGAUAAGUUUGAGACCGAAAGGAGCAAGUGCGACACUCACGUGUCCGAAAUCAGUACUCUAAGCACUCAAGUGGACUCUGCAAUUCAGCAGAAUACCACCCUUAGGUACCAUCUGGAGGAAGUCCAGAAUGAUCACGCUCUACAGCGUGACUACCCAUCCAAGCAACCGGAGCCCUGUACUCAAAGGAGUAAAGACGAUAGGUUUCAGACUUUGCCUCCCUCACGUAUCCGUCAGUCUUCUCCUCUUGGCCAUUCGGCACUGAGUAAUAUGGCGCCUCUUGGCCAACAAAGCCAAUGCUUGGCUUCUCCUCUUGGCCUUUCGGCCCCAAUGAAGCCAACCCGCUUGGCGCAGAAUACCUUGACAAAUUCGUCAAGAAUUUCCCCACCUUUGACCCCGUCCCAGGUCAGCCAAACGAUACUGAGACAUUCCUAA